rnacentral:rRNA from 1 species
AUCUGCCCUGCACUUUGGGAUAAGCCUGGGAAACUGGGUCUAAUACCAGAUAGGACCACGUCUUGGAUGGUGUGGUGGAAAGUUUUUUCGGUGUGGGAUGAGCUCGCGGCCUAUCAGCUUGUUGGUGGGGUAAUGGCCUACCAAGGCGUCGACGGGUAGCCGGCCUGAGAGGGUGUACGGCCACAUUGGGACUGAGAUACGGCCCAGACUCCUACGGGAGGCAGCAGUGGGGAAUAUUGCACAAUGGGCGCAAGCCUGAUGCAGCGACGCCGCGUGGGGGAUGACGGCCUUCGGGUUGUAAACUCCUUUCGCCAGGGACGAAGCGUCAGUGACGGUACCUGGAUAAGAAGCACCGGCUAACUACGUGCCAGCAGCCGCGGUAAUACGUAGGGUGCGAGCGUUGUCCGGAAUUACUGGGCGUAAAGAGCUCGUAGGUGGUUUGUCGCGUCGUUUGUGUAAUACCGCAGCUUAACUGCGGGGUUGCAGGCGAUACGGGCAUAACUUGAGUGCUGUAGGGGAGACUGGAAUUCCUGGUGUAGCGGUGGAAUGCGCAGAUAUCAGGAGGAACACCGAUGGCGAAGGCAG